AAGCGCCUGGCUCGCUUCUUACCGUCGCCCUCGCUGGUGUUUUGGGAAAAAAAAAAAAACUGCUUUAUUAGAUUGAGUGGAGGGUAGAAGCCGAGAAGACUCGUACGAUUAGCAGAACCUAGGUGCUGAUGCUGGGGAUGGGGAAGGGACACGCGGGUGCUUGCACUGUUUCCUGACGCUGGCCCACGCAGGCCCACAGCAGAGCUCAGGGCAUUCUGGGUGGUUAAUUAAGGAGACCUCAGGUGAGGUGGAACGACCCAAGGAAAUGUUUUCUGACGUCCUCAGUGGGUUUCUUGACUUCUUCUUCUUCUUUUUAAAAACAGCAUGUGUAAAUUGCAUGGCGGGAGGUGGGUUUAAAAGCCUAUGACGCUCUGCGAUAACCCCGUCCUAUUUUUAAUCCUCUCUCGCGAUAAAAUUGUAUUUGGCAGUUUGCGGCGGUUACGGAGUGAAAACAUUUAAGUGUAAACUGGAAAUAUUAUUGGUUACCGUGUGAAUGGAGCUUGCUAUUUUAAGUCCGGAGGAUUUUACUUGUGCCACCUGAAGCUUCUUCCAACAAAGCUAGAAGCAAAUUGCAUGUGCUCUGCAAGGCAGAGUGCUGCCUUGGAUUUUGCACUUUUCCGUCUCUCCCGGCGCAUGGCUCUGUGCUGGGUAUUUACCGACGCCGGUCCAGAGUCGAUUCAAUAUGUUUUAUUCUCAAAUAUAUGUUGUUUUCAGCACUCUUAAGGCACCGUGUUGGUUGCCUUUUUCUCAGGCCUUGUUAUUGAAUGUUUAAAGCCUUUAUCUUUUGAGAGAAGAAGGGGGUGCAAUUAUAAAUGCAAAUUAUUUAUGGAGAACUGAACUGCAUUUUCUUCUUGUUACCAGGAAGUGUGAAUGAGUGAAAAAGCCCCUCUGGGUC
rnacentral:lncRNA from 1 species